GGUUAUAAAGGUUUUGCUCCGGACGAGAUGCGCCGUACCCGGUCAAGACAAGACGACGCUUU
rnacentral:ncRNA from 1 species